rnacentral:piRNA from 1 species
AUGGAGUCUGGUCAAACUCGGCUUGGGU